rnacentral:tRNA from 1 species
CGGGUCGCCGGUCAGGCGCUGGACCAAGGUUUCGAGGGCCUUGCCGGUGGCCUGAGUACGGGCUUCUGCGCCCUGGCC